rnacentral:rRNA from 1 species
UACAGAGGGUGCGAGCGUUAAUCGGAAUUACUGGGCGUAAAGCGCACGUAGGUGGCUUGGCAAGUCGGUUGUGAAAGCCCCGGGCUCAACCUGGGAACUGCAUCCGAGACUGCUUUGCUAGAGUAUGGGAGAGGGAAGUGGAAUUUCCGGUGUAGCGGUGAAAUGCGUAGAUAUCGGAAGGAACAUCAGUGGCGAAGGCGACUUCCUGGACCAAUACUGACACUCAAGUGCGAAAGCGUGGGGAGCAAAC